rnacentral:rRNA from 1 species
UGGGGAAUAUUGGACAAUGGGCGCAAGCCUGAUCCAGCCAUGCCGCGUGUGUGAAGAAGGCCUUUUGGUUGUAAAGCACUUUAAGCGAGGAGGAGGCUACUUGGAUUAAUACUCUAGGAUAGUGGACGUUACUCGCAGAAUAAGCACCGGCUAACUCUGUGCCAGCAGCCGCGGUAAAACAGAGGGUGCGAGCGUUAAUCGGAUUUACUGGGCGUAAAGCGUGCGUAGGCGGCUUUUUAAGUCGGAUGUGAAAUCCCUGAGCUUAACUUAGGAAUUGCAUUCGAUACUGGGAAGCUAGAGUAUGGGAGAGGAUGGUAGAAUUCCAGGUGUAGCGGUGAAAUGCGUAGAGAUCUGGAGGAAUACCGAUGGCGAAGGCAGCCAUCUGGCCUAAUACUGACGCUGAGGUACGAAAGCAUGGGGAGCAAACAGG